ensembl:rRNA 5S_rRNA 5S ribosomal RNA
UAUAGCUGUACUACUGUACUGUGGACUUUUAUUUUGCGAGAUCUCUGAAGCUGAGCAGGUCUUACCUGGUCAGUACUUAAGAUGGGUGACCUCCAGAGAGCAUCAGGUACUGCUAAGU